CAAAAACAUUUUAGAUUCCCAUACAUUAGUUUUCAAGCACAAAAUUAAAUGUUACAGAAUUUUUUUUGUAUGUCAUUCAAGAAAGUAGCAUAUUAUGUAAGAGACAAUGAAGGUUUUUUGCUGGGUUUUGCUGCAAAAAUAAGAAGCAAGUGCAACAGUCAAAGUCUCCAGAAGAAAAGUGGCUGGUUCUGCAAUAUGCUCAAUAAAUCUUACAGCUAAUUUCCUUAUAAAACUGCACAACUUGUACUGGAGACUACAAUUUUUAUUUUUAACACCAAAUAUUGACUUUGAUUCAUUUACUACUGGUUACUGCUCUUUAUAGUAUUUUUUUAAAUGUAGAAACAUUUCAUUUCAUUAUUUUGAUUUCAUUGUUGCUCUACAACAUUUCUUUGCAUGUACCUAAGACUUUUGCACAUGUGUGUGUGUGUGUGUGUGUGUGCGGGGUCUGUCCUGUCUGAAUGGUCGAUUCUGAUUGGCUGGAAGGUUUGUGGUCAAACUGUAUAAUGCACAGGUAUUUCCAGUCAGUUUGAUCACAAUUCUACAUACAACUGUAAUCAUAGUAACAUAAGUUAGAUUCACAGCUUUAUUAUUAGAAUAAACAUGGCAAAGAUGCAGGUAAUUCUCUCUCACACACACACACAAUCUCUCUCUCUCUCUCUAAUAACUAUUUAUUAUAAUUCAUCCAAACAAAUGUAACCUUAUUGCACUAUUUUAUCUCUGUGUAUGAUUUAGAGUGGCAGAAUUCUAGAUCUAGUAACAUGUAAAUAAAAUAACUAACAAAGAUUAACGGUUAUUUUUAUCCUUUCAGUCAAAUUUCGCAUUUUAAACAUCAAUGACAGAUUUAACUUGUCAAUGCUGGCAAGUGACCAUAGUAUUACUGUGGAUUAUUGCUUACAAUGUGUGUGUGUGUGUGUGUGUGUGUGUGUGUGUGUGUGUGUGUGUGUGCGCGUGUGUGCAUUCGCAUGCAGUACACAUACAGGUUUAAUGUCCUCCUUAUUAUACCAGUCUGUCUCUGGUGCUUGUGGAGGUAUACUGCAGUGACCAGCAGGCCAUCAAGCCUGUUACCGGGAGUAUGGCUGCUGAUAUUACUGCUGCAAAUCAAGUGAGCUGCAUUGCUGAUGCCAGCAGAUUUCAUUGGCUGUGCCAAGCUAAGAGAGAGCACAGGGAGGCCAUCCAAGGUUCCUG
ensembl:lncRNA